UCAUCGCCACCCACCCACCUCCUCCUCCUCCUCCUCCUCCUGCACUUCGCCGCCGCCGCCGCCACUGCUGAGAGAGAGGGAGCGCGCCGCAUUGCAUACAAGGGCGAAGGAGAUCGGACCCCCCCCCGGCCCCCCACCAGCACCACCACCCUCGCCAGGAGAGGAGAGUUUUUAAGGAGGAAG